CCAUGAAACCUUAGCUCUUCUCUUAUAAUUAGAGACUAAUUCUAGACACUAUUGUGGUGUGAAAAAUCAAAAAUAAAUAUUCUAAAAAAUUUGAGUCUUCUUCCUCCUCUUCCUAGUACUCAAGAGUAUCUGUAAGAUCUGUGAGAGAACAACCUCAGCCAUCAAAUAGGAGUCUUCUAUAUGGGAGCUAAUAUCCUGAUGAAGACACCUACCUCUAGUUGGAAUGAG
rnacentral:lncRNA from 1 species